AACUUUUGUAGUUGGGAUUCAGAAUUUUCCCUUGGCUUCACUUGGGCUCAUUAGCCCCAGGCACAAAAGACCUUUGUUCUUCACACCCUGGUUUUCCUUUCCACACCCCCUGGACUCAAGGCAAAAUCGGAUUUGGGCAUUUGUGGAUUUGCGCCCUGUUAGAUAGUAACACCACUAUUCCCAACUAGUAGCACCCCCUGGCCCAUCUUUUUAGUUUUUUUCUUUUAGUUUUAUUUAUAUUUCUUUUAUGAUUUUAG
rnacentral:lncRNA from 1 species